CACUCUUGCUGUCCCAUCUCUGUUGGCACUCAGCCUCUCCCAUUGUGUGGGAACACCCGACUGUGUGGCCAUUUGUGUUGUGAACCUCCCCUGGCUCUCAGCCUUUCCGAUUGGAGGCUGUGAGGCUUACGGUUGACUUUGGUCAGCUUUGGCGAACUGUUGGCACUUUGUGCUGUCUACCCCUCCCUGGCACUUUGUGCUGUUUACCCCUCCCUGGCACUUUGUGCUGUUUACCCCUCCCUGGCACUUUGUGCUGUCUACCCAUCCCUGGCACUUUGUGCUGUCUCCCUGGCACUUUGUGCUGUCUCCCCUCCCUGGCAAGCUGUGCUGUCUUCCCACUCCCUGGUACGCUGCCCUGUCUUCCACUCCCCUGGCACUUUGUGCUGUCUACCCUCCCUGGCACUUUGUGCUGUCUACCCUCUCCCCCGGCACUUUGUGCUGUCUCCUGGCACUUUGUGCUGUCAAGAAAAAGCGAAAGACAAAGAAAUAUCAAAGCUGAAAGAAAUAUCUGAAAUAUCCCCGAAAUAUACCCUCCCUGGCACUUUGUGCUGUUGAACUGAGACUCUAUCUGAGACUAUACAUCUAUCUAUCUGAUCGAUCUAUCUCUAUCCAUCUCUAUCCAUCUGAGACUAUCUGUCUGUAUAUUCCCUCACACUCUGUGCUGUCAACCAGAGAGACUAUCUAUCUGAAACCAUUUAUCUAUCUUUCUGAGACUCUAUCUAGGAGGUGAUCUGAGCGGCGAUCCGUGAGACUAAACUACACUACCUGUUGGUUGCUUUAAUUUUUCAAGAGAACAAAUUGGUGAACAACUACUAUAGUAGUGAUACUAUAUUCUGAUUAUCAAUAAUUGUGUGUUGUGUACAGCUUGAUUUCUAAACAAAGUCUAGACAGCAUUGAUAGAAGUAGCGGAGCUAAAAAACAUAUUUGUAAUAUAACCUUGCCUUUUUAUUUUGAACCAAGACUUUAUAUAACAGUACAUUUGAGUAAGAAAUUGUUUGAAAAGAAAUACUGUAAAUUGAAGUAAUACUGUAUUCUACUGAAAAUAAUAAACUUCAUAUUGAA